ACCAGCAGCCAUAUCACCCUGCAACUCACAGCUAAGCAGGUGUGAGCCUGGUCAGUACCUGGAUGGGGGAGACCUCCUGGGAAAAACGAAGGCUGCUGCUGGAA
rnacentral:rRNA from 1 species